rnacentral:misc_RNA from 1 species
AAAAUGUCACCAACAUCAUGAAGCGUAAUUACAUCUUCCACCUUCCUCCUCCCAAUGUAGUUUAGAAUCAAAAAGAAUUUCCUGAAUUCAAGCUUAUUGAGUGCCAGCAACUGUUCACUUAUUCCUCGUGUGCUGGCCCUGUCUCUGAAUUUAGAUGGACUAGGAUCGUAAUGACAUUUUUGAAAGCUAGUUGUCACUGGACUCAGUGGAGGUGAUGGUAUUCGUGGACCUGAUGUAGGAGAAUCAGAUGUAUCACCUACUAUGUCUCUAUCCUGAAAAAUCGGCCGAUUUCUAGGUGAAAAAUUGACAGAAGAACAAGAGGAAUUCGGAGAAGACAGUGAAUUUCUUCGAAUCUGAGGCGAAUGAUAAAAACUUUCAGCAGAAAGAACUGGUUGUUCAUGAUUUUGCUUCUGAUAAAACUGUUGAGUUUCCGAUUGAUAGUAUU